GUCUGGUGCCAGCAGCCGCGGUAAUUCCAGCUCCAAUAGCGUAUAUUAAAGUUGUUGCAGUUAAGAAGCUCGUAGUUGAAUUUCUGCCUUAUCAUUAAUUUCGCUUCCGAACGUAAUUUUAUUGAUUUGGCAUCUUCUGGAUUAUAUAUUAUUUUUAAUAUAUUUUUCCAGUAUUUUACUUUGAGAAAACUAGAGUGUUUCAAACAGGCUUUUGCCUUGAAUACUACAGCAUGGAAUAAUGAAGUAGGACUAUUGGUUCUAUUUUGUUGGUUAUCGAACCAUAGUAAUGGUUAAUAGGAGCAGUUGGGGGCAUUCGUAUUUAACUGUCAGAGGUGAAAUUCUUAGAUUUGUUAAAGACGAACUACUGCGAAAGC
rnacentral:rRNA from 1 species